rnacentral:rRNA from 1 species
AAGAUGAAAAGAACUUUGAAAAGAGAGUUAAACAGUACGUGAAAUUGUUGAAAGGGAAACGAUUGAAGUCAGUCAUACCAACGGGAAAUCAACCUUUUGAGCUCGGUCUCGUGGGUUUUGAAGAGUUUCAAAGCCUUCGGAUUCGCGGGAUUGGGAUCUCUUGGCGUACUUUUUCGUACGGUUAGUCAACAUCGGUUUUGAAUGUCAUAAAAUGACUGGAGGAAUGUAGCUUCGAUGACGUAUUGCAGUGUUUAGCCUUAGGAGAAAUUUCCCUCCAACA